GGAAGUGGACAGGGCACUGGUGGCCUUCCCGGACUUCAAAUCCGGUGUAGCGGGUUAAUAGCCUGUUAGGUGGGUUCGAUUCCCAUGCACUUCCGCCA
rnacentral:tRNA from 1 species